rnacentral:tRNA from 1 species
GCCUGGCUGGCUCAGUCGGUGGAGCAUGUGACUCUUGGUCUCAGGGUUGUGGGUUCGAGCCCCACAUGGGGUU